rnacentral:rRNA from 1 species
UGGGGAAUUUUGCACAAUGGGGGAAACCCUGAUGCAGCGACGCCGCGUGAUUUAGAAGGCCUUCGGGUUGUAAAAAUCUUUUUUACGGGAUGAAAAUGACAGUACCGUAAGAAUAAGGUCCGGCUAAAUACGUGCCAGCAGCCGCGGUAAUACGUAUGGACCGAGCGUUGUCCCGAAUCAUUGGGCGUAAAGGGUACGUAGGCGGCCUAGUAAGUUAGAAGUGAAAUAAUAUAGCUCAACUAUAUAAAGCUUUUAAAACUGCUAGGCUUGAGAGAUGGAAGGGAAAGUGGAAUUCCUAGUGUAGCGGUGAAAUGCGCAGAUAUUAGGAAGAAUACCGGUGGCGAAGGCGACUUUCUGGUCAUCAUCUGACGCUGAGGUACGAAAGCGUGGGUAGCAAACAGG